AGGAGGAACAGCCCCAGUGGCGGGGCAGCUCUGGAAACCUGGAUUCAGCCCCCGCAGGAACCCCGGAGCUCUCCGUCUGCAGGGCCUGGAGGCUCCGGGGCGGG
rfam:Canis lupus familiaris chromosome 10, whole genome shotgun sequence.